rnacentral:rRNA from 1 species
CCUACGGGAGACUGCAGUCGAGAAUCAUUCACAAUGGGGGAAACCCUGAUGGUGCGACGCCGCGUGGGGGAAUGAAGGUCUUCGGAUUGUAAACCCCUGUCAUGUGGGAGCAAAUUAAAAAGAUAGUACCACAAGAGGAAGAGACGGCUAACUCUGUGCCAGCAGCCGCGGUAAUACAGAGGUCUCAAGCGUUGUUCGGAAUCACUGGGCGUAAGGCGUGCGUAGGCUGUUUCGUAAGUCGUGUGUGAAAGGCGCGGGCUCAACCCGCGGACGGCACAUGAUACUGCGAGACUAGAGUAAUGGAGGGGGAACCGGAAUUCUCGGUGUAGCAGUGAAAUGCGUAGAUAUCGAGAGGAACACUCGUGGCGAAGGCGGGUUCCUGGACAUUAACUGACGCUGAGGCACGAAGGCCAGGGGAGCGAAAGGGAUUAGAUACCCUAGUAGUC